UUUACGGAGAGUUUGAUCCUGGCUCAGGACGAACGCUGGCGGCGUGCUUAACACAUGCAAGUCGAACGAUGAUGCCCAGCUUGCUGGGUGGAUUAGUGGCGAACGGGUGAGUAACACGUGAGUAACCUGCCCCUGACUCUGGGAUAAGCGUUGGAAACGACGUCUAAUACUGGAUAUGAUCACUGGCCGCAUGGUCUGGUGGUGGAAAGAUUUUUUGGUUGGGGAUGGACUCGCGGCCUAUCAGCUUGUUGGUGAGGUAAUGGCUCACCAAGGCGACGACGGGUAGCCGGCCUGAGAGGGUGACCGGCCACACUGGGACUGAGACACGGCCCAGACUCCUACGGGAGGCAGCAGUGGGGAAUAUUGCACAAUGGGCGAAAGCCUGAUGCAGCAACGCCGCGUGAGGGAUGACGGCCUUCGGGUUGUAAACCUCUUUUAGUAGGGAAGAAGCGAAAGUGACGGUACCUGCAGAAAAAGCACCGGCUAACUACGUGCCAGCAGCCGCGGUAAUACGUAGGGUGCAAGCGUUGUCCGGAAUUAUUGGGCGUAAAGAGCUCGUAGGCGGUUUGUCGCGUCUGCUGUGAAAUCCCGAGGCUCAACCUCGGGCUUGCAGUGGGUACGGGCAGACUAGAGUGCGGUAGGGGAGAUUGGAAUUCCUGGUGUAGCGGUGGAAUGCGCAGAUAUCAGGAGGAACACCGAUGGCGAAGGCAGAUCUCUGGGCCGUAACUGACGCUGAGGAGCGAAAGCAUGGGGAGCGAACAGGAUUAGAUACCCUGGUAGUCCAUGCCGUAAACGUUGGGCGCUAGAUGUAGGGACCUUUCCACGGUUUCUGUGUCGUAGCUAACGCAUUAAGCGCCCCGCCUGGGGAGUACGGCCGCAAGGCUAAAACUCAAAGGAAUUGACGGGGGCCCGCACAAGCGGCGGAGCAUGCGGAUUAAUUCGAUGCAACGCGAAGAACCUUACCAAGGCUUGACAUACACCGGAAACGGCCAGAGAUGGUCGCCCCCUUGUGGUCGGUGUACAGGUGGUGCAUGGUUGUCGUCAGCUCGUGUCGUGAGAUGUUGGGUUAAGUCCCGCAACGAGCGCAACCCUCGUUCUAUGUUGCCAGCGGGUUAUGCCGGGGACUCAUAGGAGACUGCCGGGGUCAACUCGGAGGAAGGUGGGGAUGACGUCAAAUCAUCAUGCCCCUUAUGUCUUGGGCUUCACGCAUGCUACAAUGGCCGGUACAAAGGGCUGCGAUA
rnacentral:rRNA from 1 species